AAAAAGACAAGCUAGUGAAAUUGCUGACGUCUCAUAGAGACACAAUAUUAAACAAAAAACGGAUGGGACCACGAACGAAGCCAAAAACAAAGCUUGGAUCCAGUUACAAAUAGUUUUAAUGCGAUAGGAACCGUUUACAGUUUCAGGUGGUGCGAGAAAUUGGAAAGACGUGUAAAAACAUGCUGCGCCCAGCCCACCUCAAAUUGAAUUGGUGCAGGAGGAUGAUGAUAAUGUUUGGUACAUCAUAUGAGGACUAAUAUUAAAAUAUUUGUUUACUAUCUUUGUUUUAAUUUAUAUAUUUUAUUAUGUACAAUAUUAGCCUACUUCUUACCUCCAGAGGGUAUCCCCUAUCACCUAGGAGAUAGGCUCCUCCAUAUUCACCAUUUUCGAAUCAUUGGUAUCUACUGCAGUUUUGGUAUUUAAGGCCAAUUCAAACCUGAGCGAUAUUCGCUGCCGCUGUGGGUAGAGGUAGAUACCGCACGGGUUUCGCUCAGGUAUUUAGUAUCAAGUAUAGUUACCGGCACGGAUAUUGAGCUCUCGGCGGAAGAGUGGGGAUCGCUUUGCGCACUGUACACAAGGCAAUAAACCAAUAAAUGGCUUCUGCGCAGGUUAAGGUCAGGGCUCAAUAUCCGUGCCAAUAACUAUACCUACCGCGGCUAGAGCGACCUGAGCGAUAUUCACUGCCGCUGUGGGUAGAAGUACAUACCGCGCGGCAGCAGCGGCAUACGUCCCGAACAUCAACAGUAAUAUUAUCGCAUACCCACAGGGUUUUCUCUGCCGUAGACGGUAGCGAAUACCGCUUAGGUCUGAAUAGGCCUAUAGAUGUCCCGGCCACCGCGAAACUACAUCAGUGAUUACCAGAUUUGCAUCUGUUAUGGUCUGUAUAUUUAUGGACAUGCAGGACUACCUAUUUUUGAAUAAUUCAGCGACAUCACGACCUAGCAAGUGCAUUCAUAGCAAGUGAUAACCUAUAAUCUAUAUCUAUACUAAUAUUAUAAAGAGGAAAAUGUUUGUUUGUUUGGUUGUAAUGGAUAAACUCAAAAA